rnacentral:rRNA from 1 species
AUUGAACGCUGGCGGCAUGCCUUACACAUGCAAGUCGAACGGUAACAGGCCUUCGGACGCCGACGAGUGGCGAACGGGCGAGUAAUACAUCGGAACGUGCCCAGUCGAGGGGGAUAACUACUUGAAAGAGUAGCCAAUACCGCAUACGAUCGGAGGAUGAAAGCGGGGGACCUUCGGGCCUCGCGCGAUUGGAGCGGCCGAUGGCAGAUUAGGUAGUUGGUGGGAUAAAAGCUUACCAAGCCGACGAUCUGUAGCUAGUCUGGGAGGACGACCAGCCACACUUGGACUAAGACACUGCCCAGACUCCUACGGGAGUCAGCAGAGGGGAAUUUUGGACAAUGGGCGAAAGCCUGAUCCAGCAAUGCCGCGUGCAGGAUGAAGGCCUUCGGGUUGUAAACUGCUUUUGUACGGAACGAAAAAGCUCCUUCUAAUACAAGGGGCCCAUGACGGUACCGUAAGAAUAAGCACCGGCUAACUACGUGCCAGCCGCCGCAGUAAUAC